GAUUCCACGCUUAUUAUACUUAAUAAGGAGGUAAGAAAAAAUCAGCGUGUAAUAGGUGAAAAUAGUGAAGUUCAAGAUGAAAUGGAGGAAUCUUGAGGAAUGUUGUAAAAUAUAUGAUGUUUAAAUGUAAUUAAGAUGUUCCACACGUUUUGAGAGAUGUUCCAGGAAAAGCAGCUUUUCCAACUGUUGAUUUCUACAUGGAAACCGAGAAUUUUCUUCAGAAAGAGCUUUAAUAAAUACGAAUCAGAAUAGAAAGAGAAAAACGAUUCGCAUCCAUAAAAUUUCAUUUCGAAAAUGUAUCCUUCCUUUUAUACAGAAUAUUAAUAAACGUUCUCUCGUGAGCCAACGUUUUCGUUCCACCUCGAAAAUGAUAAAAUGGAAAAUGGUCAACGAAGUGUCGUCGUGUAUAUUCAAAGUGCUCGAGAUACGGACGAGUAUCUUGUAAGGAUGCUAAUUAAUUAAGAAUCGAGAUGGGAUGCCGAAUAUGAAUUUCUCAGACUUUCCCGCUUUUUAUUCGAAUUAUUUGAAAGCCGUUGCAUUUCUAUGGCGGGUUUUUCGAACGAGAGAUUCGCUUUAUAUAGAAAGUUCACUUGUGGAAAUGUAAUUUGGAUGGAUAUAGUCGUGUGAUUCCACGAUAGUAUUAAUUAACACGAUUGGAUGCCACGUGGAUGAAAUUUAACCAACUUGGAUGUUUCGAUGAUUGCACGUGAACCGAGGAAUGAGAAAUCUCGAUCGAUUGGCUAGAUAUACAUGCAUAUAUACUUGUCUGAUACAUGGCUGGGAAUAUAUUUGCAUUUAUGAAAGGAUUAUCAAUGCAUCUUACGAUUUCAAUUUGUACUGAUUAUUAUUAAAUAAAUGGAUAUUAAUGUAAAUUGAUAAAUUAUUUGAUAAUUUUUUUUUUACAGAUAAUUUUAUAAGAUUAAAAUUUACGGCAUGGAAAUUGAAUGAAAAUUGUGCAAAGGUAUACUGACGUAAUCUUCUUUCAUGACAAUUGAUGUAUACACUUCCUUCUUUCCGAUAAUCUUCUCUCCUCGAUAAGAACAAAUAUGCGAUCGUGACUGGAAAACGCGUUCUUGGCGCGAAACGUUAUCGUUCGCUUGAAUCAACGUGUACACAAGAGCCAUCAGAGUUUGGCCAUUGUCAAGGGGCAACGAUGCGUGCUCGCUACGACGCCAGACGUUCCGGAAACGUGGCAAGGAUGAAAGGAAAGAGACAGAGAGAGAAAGAGAGAGAGAGAGAGAGAGAGAGAGAGAGAGAGAGAGAGAGAGAGAGAGAGAGAGUUUGGCGAGUCCAAGGAGGAGACUCACCGAUGCACCGGUUCCAGAUUUACGUUCGACCCGUGGAAGACACGGGAAACGUGCUCGUAUGUGACCUAGAUCGCUAACGAGACGUUUCGUUGAUUAAAUAAUGGGAGCCCAUUGCGGAUUCGUGAGCGGAUAAGAUGGUCGAAAGUUGCUCUGAAUCGAGGCGAGCGUUUUGCUCGAUCACGACCAUCCUUUACCUCGUCGAACAGGAAAGUUGUGCACUUUUUUUUUUUAAAUAGAGAUCAUUGCAGGGUGAAGAGGAACGAUGAUGCCGAUGAUUUUCGGGAUAUAACUUUCUUUGGAAAGUGUCUUCCAUAUUAUCUUUUAAGAAAGGUGAAAAUUUAGGAAUUAAUGAAAGGGGGAUAGAGAAUCUUUUAAGAAAGAUGAAAAUUUAGGAAUUAAUAAAAGGGGGAUAGAGGAUAUCUUUUUGCUGUAAAAUUUUAUGAUUAAUCUCUGGUCAUUCUGAUAUUUUUGCUAUAAAUUUUAUCAAAUAGAGGUGCUAUGUUUGACAUAUGUAAUUUAUGCCAUAAUUUUUCCUUCAAUUCAGAAUAUUGAUUGAUGAUAUGUAAUCAAUCAAAUUCAAACUUAAAUGUAUUAAGAUGAUUGAAACGCAAUUAUGAAUUUAUAAGUACGAAUACGAACAUAUGUGCAUGAAAAUAAUAUAGAGAAGAAAGUACAUAUUAGAAAAGGAAUUAGAAAGUGAAUGAAAAUCAUUAACUUUAACGUGAAAAAUUAUCGUUCAUGGAUAAAGAUUCGAUUUCAAAAUUCGAUUUCAGGCUAUCCAAUUACUCGAUAUAAUGUCAUAAUUGAAGAAACGUGAAACUAAAUGAUACUCGAUAAAGACACAAGAAAUAUCGUUGUAAUAGGCGCGUUAGAUUAGUCAUGUCUUUCGAAUUACAACGUGAAAGGAAACGAACCAAUGGUAGAUAUCAUUCAGUCGCGUGUUUAUAUUUAACGGUACAGGUAAUUACGAUCAAUACAACCACGACACCUUAUACUUGUACGUUUAACGGUAUAUGUAAUUACGCGCAACAGAAAUAGUGCAUUCCUAUUGUCACAGAAAAUAUAAUAAUAUUGAACUUAUAUAACUUGAAUCUCUAUAAUUCAAAAAUUUUUAUAAGACUAAAAUUUUCUUUAUUCGUAUCAUCAUACAUUAUAUCAUAUAUUUAUAGACUCGUAACAAAUAUGGACCUAUAAAAUUUGUGAAAUAGAUAGCUAUCAGCUGAUAGGAUCAGAUAUAUUAGAGAAUUUAUGGAAUUCGAAUCAGAUAUGAAAAAAUAACUAAUAACUUCUUAUAUCUGUCACUUAUGCUUCAUAAAUUUCAGGUUUACGAUGUGUUGUUAAAUUAUUGAGAGUAAUAAACAGACAAAACUAUCUGACAAUAAUAGCCAUAAUGUUCA